rnacentral:rRNA from 1 species
AUACGUAUGUCGCAAGCGUUAUCCGGAAUUAUUGGGCAUGAAGCGAGUCUAGGCGGCUUGUUAAGUCAGAUGUGAAAAUGCGGGGCUCAACUCCGUAUUGCGUUUGAAACUGGCAGGCUAGAGUACUGGAGAGGUGGGCGGAACUACAAGUGUAGAGGUGAAAUUCGUAGAUAUUUGUAGGAAUGCCGAUAGUGAAGACAGCUCACUGGACAGAUACUGACGCUAAAGCUCGAAAGCGUGGGGAGCGAACAGGAUUAGAUACCCCUGUAGUCC